rnacentral:rRNA from 1 species
GAUGAACGCUGGCGGCGUGCCUAAUACAUGCAAGUCGAGCGAACAGACGAGGAGCUUGCUCCUCUGCCGUUAGCGGCGGACGGGUGAGUAACACGUGGAUAACCUACUUAUAAUACUUGGAUGACUUCGUGAAACCGCAGCUAAUACCGGCUAAUAUAUUCAACCGGAUGGUUCAAUAGUUAAAGACGGUUUUGCUGUCACUUAUAGAUGGAUCCGCGCGGCAUUAGCUAGUUGGUAAGGUAACGCCUUACCAAGGCAACGAUGCGUAGCCGACCUGAGAGAGUGAUCGCCGACACUGUAGCAGAGACACAGUCCACACUCCUCUGGGAGGCAGCAGUAGGGAAUCUUCCGCAAUGGGCGAGCACGUGACGGAGAAACACAGCGUGAGUGAUGAGGGUCUUCGGAGCGUAUAACUCUGUUAUGAGGGAAGAAAAAAUGUGUAAGUAAAUAUGCACGUCUUGACGCUGUAUAAUAAGAAUGCCACGGCGAAAUACGUG